rnacentral:lncRNA from 10 species
UUUUUUGAGACGGAGUCUUACUCUGUUACUCUGGCUGCUGCACAGUGGCAUGAUCCUGGAUCACUGCAACUUUUGCCUCCCGGGUUCAAGCGAUUCUCCUGCCUCAGCCUCCUGAGUAGCUGGGACUACAGGCACGUGCCACCACGCCUGGCUAAUUUUUGUAUUUUUAGUAGGGAUGGAGUUUCACCAUGUUGGUCAGGCUGGUCUCUAACGCCUGACCUCAAGUGAUACACCUGCCUCGGCCUCCCAAAGUGCUGGGAUUACAGGGGUGAGCCACCGUGCCCGGCCUUAAUCCUACUUUCAUAUUGUUACUGCCCCAUGGGAAAUCAAAUGUACAAAUCAGCAAGGAUCUAUUUUAUAGUCAGUCAACAAACAACAACAUAAGCACUACAGACUCUUUUAUUUACAACAGUCUUUCAAAAGAAACCUUUCUUCUGCAUCCACGUGCAAGUUAAGUAAGCUUGAGGAACAUCAUCAAGAAUGGGAUGGUGAAUAUAUGAAUAGAAUAGCUGCAACCUCACGUCAGUUGAAUUUAAUCAGUAGAGCAGCUGUGUCCCGUCUUCGGUACCAUGGUGUGGGGGUGUAUUAGUCUUGUUUUCAUGCUGCUGAUAAAGACAUACCGGAGACUGGGAAGAAAAAGAAGUUUAAUUGGACUUACAGUUCCACGUGGCUGGGGAGGCCUCAGAAUCAUGGCGGGAGGCGAAAGGCGUUUCUUACGCAGCAGCAGCAAGAGAAAAUAAGGAGCAAGCAAACGUGGAAACUCCCGAUAAACCCAUUAGAUCUCGUGAGACGUAUUCACUCUCGCGAGAAUAACGCGGGAAAGACCCACCCCCAUGAUUCAACUACCUCCCUCUGGGUCCUUCCCACAAUAUGGGGGAAUUCUGGGGGACACGAUUCAAGUUGACAUUUGAAUGGGGACACAGCCAAACCAUAUCAGGGGGAAUGGGCAUGACUCAAGUUCAAAUCUUUUCUCCAGUAGGGUAUUUAUUAGCCAUGUGACUUUAGGUACAUCACUUCUCCUGAGCCCCCGUUUACUCACACGUAAAACUGGAGAAAUAGGAACCACCUCACAGGCCUUGUUGAGCUGAAACAUUUGAGUUUAACUGGCGCCUCCUGACGCUGGUUCAGUUUGCUCAUCAUUGGUGCGCGCUGUGUCCCGUGAGCCUGCGCUCCGCCCUCGGGCCCUUCCGGGCCGCUUGCUUUUCAUCUUCCCUGUGGGACUCGCCCAGAGACGCCUUCACGCAGCUCCGCGUCAUCUGUGAUUCUGUAGCUUCGGGGAUCCUCUUGUAAACGAUAUGUGACUGUAGGAAGAUAGAUUUUUUUUGUAUAAUUAACCACAAUAACACAUCAGGAUGGACUGAAUACAGAGCCUUGAACCUUCCAACCCCCUGAGAAGACCUGGACUGCUCUCCUUGAUGGACUGGUGCUCCUCAUUUCCCAGGGACUGGAACUGAAACUAUAGCCUGGGUGCUUUGAAACAGGACAGAUUUCCAAGCCCCUGUCCAGGAUUCUGAUUUAGCUGGCCUGGGAUGAAAACAUGGAUCUGCAUGUUUAACAAACAAACCAGUGGAUUUUUAACAUGGGGUUUAGGAAAUUAUACAAAGUAUACACUCUCCUAGGGCUAAUCUUGUUAUUAAUUAUUGUCAGUUAAAAGCAUUUCUUCACUGGAGAUGAGGAAAAAACCCAAACUUAAAGCGUCAAUAAAACUUUCAAAUAGAAGAUUAUUUUUAAAUGUUUUUCUUCUAAAUUUCAAGUCUGCUAUUCCAGAUCAUUCUCAUAAUCAAAAUCAUGAAGUCAUCAAACAAAUAAAAUC